UCGGGAUAGCUCAGCUGGUAGAGCA
rnacentral:tRNA from 19 species